rnacentral:rRNA from 1 species
ACGCUCGACACCUACGGGGGCAGCAGUCGGGAAUAUUGCGCAAUGGAGGAAACUCUGACGCAGUGACGCCGCGUAUAGGAAGAAGGUUUUCGGAUUGUAAACUAUUGUCGUUAGGGAAGAAAAAAGACAGUACCUAAGGAGGAAGCUCCGGCUAACUACGUGCCGGCAGCCGCGGUAAUCUGAGCGGGCUGGCAAGGC